GGGGAUUUAGCUCAGUGGUAGAGCACUUGCCUAGCAAGUGCAAGGCCCAGGGUUCAGUCCUCA
rnacentral:tRNA from 1 species